rfam:Schistosoma curassoni strain Dakar, Senegal genome assembly, scaffold: SCTD_scaffold0003319
AUCCAUCUUAAGAGUCUCAAAUAGGACGAGACGCGCGUCCUGGAU